rnacentral:rRNA from 1 species
GCCCGAGUUGUAAUUUGUAGAGGAUACUUUUGAUGCGGUGCCUUCCGAGUUCCCUGGAACGGGGCGUCAUAGAGGGUGAGAAUCCCGU